rnacentral:lncRNA from 1 species
UGAGAAGUCAAUUAGUGGGACAAAAAGGGGGCCACAGCGAAACUGUUCGAUUUGCAAAUUGGAAGAUGACGAAAGUGGAAAUGCGCAUCAGACAGGAAGUCCGUAUCCAGAUGUCCUCACUCCUCAAGUCCUCAUGCGCCGUCCACGUCCUGAAGGUGGAAACUUCGCGUUUAGCGACUUUUUUGAUGCCCUUCGCCUGAAUCCUGGCACUGGCUGUGGCGGCCUCUGUCUCGCUCUCUCUGAAACGCAAAUCUCUGUGAUUGUGUGGACAGCCUCGUCCCUCCUCGCCGUCUCUUAUCUUUUAGUUCGAAACCAGUCUCCAUCAUUUCACUCUCUCAACGUCAGUUUGCAG